ensembl:lncRNA
UGUGCUUCCAAGCCGUGCGCCUUCAUCAAUCUACGAGGAUUGCUGUGCACAGAUGUGUGUGAUUUACACGCAGCUGAGAGCCUGACUCAGCUCCAGAGGGGUCCAGCUAUGUGAGGACUGAGUGGGGGGCCAGAUCAUGCCAUUUGCCAUGUUUGGUAUCCAGCUGUGUCUGCAAAAGAGUAAAUCAUCACUGGUUGCAGGAAUUGGAAUCUGUAAGAUGUCGUGCAGACUGGAGGAGAGGCCCAAAGAAGCGCCCAGAGACAGACAUGCUGAAACCUGAGAGUUCCUUCAGUCUGUGUUUGUUUUGUUUGACCUACUGGCCAAUUGUCAGAUGGGUCCUCAGAGUCCACAAGAAUGUGUCAUCUCUCAAGUGAAAGACAGUUUGUUGAUAGUCCAUGGGAACAGGUACUUCAGAGAGUCUUCAAAGGAUCUUUGCCAUCACUAUGGUAAUACCAGUUUCAAGCUGGCUGGUUAAAAUUACUGUGAGUAAUUGCACACUAUGAAAGUCAUUUAAUCACUGAGCUGCAGACGCAC